UAGGGAAUCUUCCGCAAUGGACGAAAGUCUGACGGAGCGACGCCGCGUGAGCGAAGAAGGUCUUCGGAUCGUAAAGCUCUGUUGUUAGGGAAGAAGAAGUGCCGUUCGAACAGGGCGGCACGGUGACGGUACCUAACGAGAAAGCCCCGGCUAACUACGUGCCAGCAGCCGCGGUAAUACGUAGGGGGCGAGCGUUGUCCGGAAUUAUUGGGCGUAAAGCGCGCGCAGGCGGUCCCUUAAGUCUGAUGUGAAAGCCCACGGCUUAACCGUGGAGUGUCAUUGGAACCUGGGGGACUUGAGUGCAUCAGAGGAGAGCUGAAUUCCACGUGUAGCGGUGAACUGCGUAGAGAUGUGGAUGAACAUCAGUGGCGAAGGCUGCGCUCUGGUCCGUAACCGACGCUGAGGCGCGAAAGCGUGGGGAGCCAACAGG
rnacentral:rRNA from 1 species